rnacentral:tRNA from 1 species
GUAUAUAUAGCUCAGUGGUAGAGCACUUGCCUAGCAUGCAUGAGGUCCUGGGUUCAAUCCCCAGUACCUCCA